GCGGCCAUGGGGACCGCCUCGUCGCUGGUGAGCCCCGCGGGCGGGGAGGUGAUCGAGGACACGUACGGGGCGGGCGGCGGCGAGGCCUGCGAGAUCCCGGUGGAGGUGCGGCCCAAGGCCCGCCUGCUGCGCGGCUCCCUCCGGCGCGGCGCGGGGGCGGCGGGCGCGGGCCCGGGGGCGGCGGCGCGCGGGCCGGGCGGCGCGGGGCUGCUGGGCGCGAGCUUCCGCUCCACCGGCUCGGCGGGCCCCGAGCUGGAGUGCGCGGCGGCCGAGUACGAGCGGCUGCGGAAGGAGUACGACAUCUUCCGGGUCAGCAAGAACCAGGAGCUGCUGUCCAUGGGCCGGCGCGAGGCCAAGCUGGACUCGGAGAACAAGCGGCUGCGCGCCGAGCUGCAGGCACUUCAAAAAACUUACCAGAAGAUACUUCGGGAAAAGGAAAGUGCUUUAGAAGCCAAAUACCAAGCAAUGGAGAGAGCAGCUACAUUCGAACAUGACAGAGAUAAAGUGAAAAGACAAUUCAAGAUUUUUAGGGAGACCAAGGAAAAUGAAAUCCAGGACUUACUGAGGGCCAAGCGAGAGUUGGAGAGCAAACUUCAGAGGCUGCAGGCUCAAGGGAUCCAAGUGUUUGACCCUGGGGAGUCUGAUUCAGACGACAACUGUACAGAUGUUACUGCUGCUGGAACCCAGUGUGAAUAUUGGGCUGGAGGCGCCCUGGGAAGUGAGCCAUCCCUAGGAAGUAUGAUCCAGCUUCAGCAGUCCUUCCGGGGCCCUGAGUUCGCCCAUAGUUCUAUAGAUGUGGAAGGACCCUUUACAAAUGUCAACAGAGACGAUUGGGAUAUCGCUGUAGCUAGUUUAUUACAAGUUACUCCACUGUUUUCGCAUUCUCUGUGGAGCAACACGGUCAAAUGUUACCUCAUUUAUACAGAUGAAACCCAGCCUGAAAUGGAUCUUUUCCUUAAGGACUAUUCACCUAAACUUAAAAGAAUGUGCGAGACAAUGGGAUAUUUUUUCCAUGCUGUAUAUUUUCCAGUAGAUGUUGAGAAUCAAUACCUCACUGUAAGAAAAUGGGAAAUUGAGAAGAGUUCAUUAGUUAUUUUAUUCAUUCAUUUAGCUUUACCAAGCCUUUUAUUGGAAGACUGUGAAGAAGCUUUUCUGAAAAACCCUGAAGGCAAACCACGAUUAAUUUAUCAUCGUUUGGAGGACGGGGAAGUCAGUUCCGACUCUGUCCGGCAAUUGAUUGACCAAGUCUCUAACCUGAACGCUGCCAACAAAGCCAAGAUCAUUGAUCACUCAGGAGAUCCUGUAGAAGGAGUUUAUAAAACUUAUAUUUAUGUGGAGAAGAUUAUUAAACAGGACAUCCUGGGCUUUGAGAACACAGACCUGGAAAUGAAGGAUGUGGGCAGUGAAGAUUCUGUUCCAGAAGAAGAUGAUUUAGGUGACGUUUUGUGGGACAUACAUGAUGAACAAGAGCAAACGGAGACUUUUCAACAGGCCUCGAAUUUAUCCCAGGAGUUGGGAUUUGAGAAAUAUUACCAGCGCCUUAAUGACCUAGUGGCGGCUCCAGCUCCGAUUCCACCCCUUCUUGUAUCUGGAGGACCAGGUUCUGGAAAGUCCCUUCUUUUAUCAAAGUGGAUUCAGUUACAACAGAAGAAUUCCCCUAAUACCCUAAUUCUUUCUCAUUUUGUGGGGAGGCCCCUGUCAACCAGCUCCGAGUCUUCCUUGAUCAUUAAACGAUUAACGCUAAAGUUGAUGCAGCACUCUUGGUCGGUGUCUGCUCUGACACUGGAUCCUGCUAAGCUUCUAGAAGAGUUUCCACGUUGGCUAGAAAAACUGUCUGCCCGUCAUCAAGGCAGUAUCAUUAUCAUUAUUGAUUCUAUAGAUCAAGUUCAGCAAGUUGAAAAGCACAUGAAAUGGCUGAUAGACCCCCUGCCAGUGAAUGUGAGAGUAAUUGUGUCUGUGAACGUAGAAACAUGCCCUCCAGCUUGGAGGUUGUGGCCAACACUUCAUCUUGAUCCAUUAAAUCCGAACGAUGCAAAAUCAAUUAUAAUUGCAGAAUGCCAUUCUAUAGACAUUAAAUUGAAUAAAGAGCAGGAGAAGAAGCUAGAACGGCACUGUCGUUCUGCUACCACCUGCAAUGCCCUUUAUGUCACGCUUUUCGGCAAAAUGAUUGCACGCAGUGCCGGGAAAGCCGGGAACUUGGAUAAAAUCCUUCAGCAGUGUUUCCAGAGUCAGGACACCAUUUCACUGUAUAGACUUGUCCUGCGGUCUGUCCAGGACUCACUGGGCAACGAUCGGGAGAAGGAGCUGAUGAAGCAGAUUCUGUGCCUUGUGAAUGUUAGUCACAACGGAGUGAGUGAGUCAGAAUUGAUGGAACUCUAUCCUGACAUGUCCUGGGCUGUCUUGACCUCUCUUAUUCACAGUUUACACAAAAUGGGUUUGUUGACUUAUGGGUGUGGCUUGCUGAAGUUUCAACAUCUGCAGGCUUGGGAAGCAGUGAGACUGGAGUACCUGGAAGGUCCCCCCAUUAUUUCUUCAUAUAGGCAAAAGCUAAUCAAUUACUUCACCGUGCAGCUCAGUCAGGACCGAGUGACCUGGAGGGGCGCAGAUGAGCUCCCCUGGCUUUUCCAGCAGCAGGGAAGUAAACAGAAGCUGCACGAUUGCCUUCUCAACCUCUUCGUGUCUCAAAACCUUUAUAAAAGAGGACACUUUGCUGAGUUGCUGAGUUACUGGCAGUUUGUUGGCAAAGACAAGGGCGCCAUGGCCGCAGAGUACUUUGAUUCCCUGAAACAGUACGAGAAAGACUGUGAGGGCGAGGAGAACAUGCUCUGCUUAGCCGACCUCUACGAAACCCUGGGGCGGUUUCUCAAGGAUCUUGGCCUUCUCAGUCAGGCUGUGGUGCCUUUGCAGAGAUCUCUAGAAAUUCGAGAAACAGCUUUAGAUCCUGAUCACCCAAGAGUGGCCCAGUCCCUCCACCAACUCGCAAGUGUGUACGUGCAGUGGAAGAAGUUCGGCAACGCAGAGCAGCUGUAUAAACAGGCCCUGGAAAUCUCAGAAAAUGCUUACGGUGCAGACCAUCCACAUAUUGCUCGUGAACUUGAGGCCCUUGCAACUUUGUACCAGAAACAAAAUAAAUAUGAACAAGCUGAACAUUUUAGGAAAAAAUCCUUUAAAAUUCGUCAGAAAGAAACAAGGAGAAAAGGCAACUUGUAUGGAUUUGCCCUUUUACGUAGACGGGCCUUGCAGUUGGAAGAACUUACAUUAGGUAAAGACACACCUGACAAUGCUCGGACCCUCAAUGAACUGGGUGUUCUCUACUAUCUGCAGAAUAACCUGGAAACAGCGGACCAGUUUCUGAAGCGUUCCUUAGAAAUGAGGGAGCGAGUUCUGGGCCCAGAUCACCCCGACUGUGCCCAGUCUUUGAAUAAUCUGGCUGCUCUCUGCAAUGAAAAGAAGCAGUAUGGGAAAGCAGAAGAACUUUAUGAAAGAGCCUUAGACAUUCGGAGAAGAGCUCUAGCUCCUGACCACCCUUCUUUGGCUUAUACUGUGAAGCAUCUCGCAAUCCUAUAUAAGAAAAUGGGGAAGCUUGACAAAGCUGUACCUUUGUAUGAGCUGGCGGUUGAAAUUCGGCAGAAAUCCUUUGGCCCAAAGCACCCUAGUGUAGCUACUGCCUUGGUGAACCUAGCGGUUCUCUAUAGCCAAAUGAAAAAACACAUUGAAGCCUUGCCAUUAUAUGAAAGAGCAUUAAAGAUUUAUGAAGACAGCCUGGGCCGGAUGCAUCCUCGAGUUGGAGAAACAUUAAAAAAUUUAGCUGUGCUUAGUUAUGAAGAAGGGGAUUUUGAAAAAGCUGCUGAGCUAUACAAAAGGGCAAUGGAAAUAAAAGAAGCAGAAGCCUCACUUUUGGGUGGAAAAGCUCCUUCUCGACACUCAAGUGGAGACACCUUUAGCUUAAAAACCCAUUCUCCUAAUGUUUUCCUUCACCAAGGACAAAGCAGUAGCCUGGCCCAAUUCUCUACCUCAAAGAAAAGUUUCGAGGAAUAAAGGGAUCGUGUUUAUGCAAGGCUUGCCUGUCUCCUGUAAAUGAGCUCAUAAAAGGUUGACUUAUACCUUGUAUUCUUCCUGCUGCUUCCUGCAAUUUCUGUCAUCACACUGUGGAUUUGGCUUCAUGGACAUAGUAGGGAAAAAAUCCUGCAUUGCAUUGUAUCCAAGAGUCUUUUCGUCAAUAUUUGCAGCAACCACAAGUGGAGGAGCACACUGCAUGAGAAAGAAAAAAAGGCAUUUCAAAGGAAAGGGAGAAAAGUAGAUGUUUCAAAUAGCAUUUCUUCACAGUCCAGUUCUCCCUGUUGGCAUGAGCAAGAGUAGGACAGGAGUGCAUACCACCGCCAGCAAGGCCAACAGGCCCCCGCGCUAUGGAGUGAGCAGGUCCCUAUACGACAGGCAAAGAGAAAUGCUUUACCUUCCCGAUGCCACAUCUUGUCAGCAUUUCAGCAGUCACGCUGCCGACUCCACCCACACCUACCACUGCCACGGCAAAGGUGCGGAU